UAAUUAUCCUGAUCUCAAGCCUCCUACGUCACCGAUACCUUCACAACCUAGUGGCAGUGUGGGGAAAGUUGAAACAGUUUCCAAGGUAGAAGUAUCUGCCGAGUCUACUCCAGAAAUCAGUUCAGCUCCAAAACCAGAAGUAACAGCAGAAGCACGAACUGGAAUUACAAGGCCACUUUCUCCAUAUCCCAAUUAUCCUGAGCUCAAGCCUCCGACUUCGCCAAUGCCUACACAAGCAUAAUUUUGGACUUGCAGAUUUCCAUAUCCAAGGUGUAUCAACUCCACAAUUGCCAAUUUUUGUAAAAUUUGAA
rnacentral:misc_RNA from 1 species